AUACAGAGGGUGCGAGCGUUAAUGGGAAUUACUGGGCGUAAAGCGCGCGUAGGCGGUUAUUUAAGUCAGAUGUGAAAUCCCUGGGCUCAACCUAGGAACUGCAUCUGAAACUGGAUAACUAGAGUUUAGGAGAGGGGAGUAGAAUUUCGGGUGUAGCGGUGAAAUGCAUAGAGAUCCGAAGGAAUACCAGUGGCGAAGGCGACUCCCUGGCCUAGAACUGACGCUGAGGUGCGAAAGCGUGGGUAGCAAACGGGAUUAGAUACCCUAGUAGUCC
rnacentral:rRNA from 1 species